rnacentral:piRNA from 1 species
AGGAGUGGGGAAUAUGAGGUGUG